rnacentral:lncRNA from 1 species
CGAACCGUGACAAAAUGGCGGCCGCGGGGUGCAGUGCGGUACAGUCCCGCUCCGCCUGCUGGAUGUGCUUUUACCCUCUCGCGAUACAAAGAUAAAAGCGCUGCAAAACAGCGCUACUAAAUACGAGACAGACACAGUUUAAGAAAAAAUUUACUGAUCCAUUAGCACUUCUGCCAGUAUUGCAACAGACAUGAAAGGCAACCACUGUUACAGUUUAGAAAACCAAGUUUUAUACAGUUAGAAUGUUAAACAAAUCUCAAAAAAAGAAAAACAAACAAACAGAAACCAGUGGCUGAGGAACAAGCCUGGAAUUUCAGACGCAGUAGCACCUACAGCACCACCAAAAGCCAAAACACUUCAUCUGUUCUGUAGAAUUUCUCAGUUUAAGUUCUUGAAUUCCUUCCACAAUUGGAUAAUGGCGCUCAGAACUCAAAUCCUUGAGACGGGAAAAGGAUACAAGAGGAAAGGAUGAAACCAACCAGGUUUCUAGGAACCGUGCUUUUAGCUAUUGCUGAGGAAUGUUAAUGCACAAACAGACGGAGUAACGCACAGCUCUACUUCUCAACAGCGUGCCAGCAAACAAGAGUUAAGAAACCAUCUUACACAACAGCUAAGUUUGUCAAAUCAGCAUUUUCCUAUAAGUUAUAAUAAAUUCAUAAAGAAACAGUUUUACACUUCACAUAUUAAUCAGAGUAGGGGAAGAGUUACGUUUAUUGGUUCAGCAUCCAUUUUAUUGUACUUCCUGUUUUAUCCAAGAAUAGACUCCCUCUUCUGAUCAGCACUGACAGAUACAAUAACAGCACAUACACAGCAGUAGAAAAAACACCAGGAAUGAAGUCCAGCUAUUCCUCCCUCUCUUCUAGGAAUAACCAAAACAUUAAAACAAGAAACACUUUGCCUUCUAGUUUUCCAUAAGAAACAGUACAGGAAGCUUAAAAUGCUUGUUGCCUUGAGUCACUUCUCACCAGGAAGAGGCACCAUGUAUCCCUCACUGCAAUACUGAACUCGAGGGAAAGCCUUUCUUCUGUAAAGUUCCACUCUGACUUGUAGGUUUCCAAAGCCCAAUCGAUGUACAGAAAGUUUAAGAAGUAGGGAGGAACAGCACCACAUUUACAUGACUAGACUUCUGUCGGGCUAAGCGGUUCUGUCAGAAGAGUACGCAGCUUCACCAUUUCUGCUCUUUUCUUGAGAAACUUAACAGUGAUCUCACUGCUCAAUAAUUUGCCACAAAAUGUAUGCUGACCAGCUGGGUCACACCACGUGGAGUAGUUUUAGGAAGUCAGUCCCUGUAGAAAAUGGCACUGUGGAUCUGGCAGCAGAAAGAGGAAUGAUGCUCUAAAGUAGGAGGUAGGGGAACUGAUACAGCAAGUCCACUGUUGAGCUGUCUGCUGAGACUCCACAGUUUUAUCUUCCACUGCUCAUGCCUCUGUCUU